GCAAAAGAUUUCUACCAUCACAACAACUGGUCUGCCGAGUUCUACCUUCAUAUUACUUAAUUAUCCCACCUCUUUUUCUUUGAUAACAUAGCAACAAACCUUCAUAUUGUUUCAAAUGGUCCACAAAUUAAAAUCCAAGUAAAAGGACACAGUGCUCAAACCUUCAUACUGUUUCAAGAGAGGUAGACUCAAACCUCAUUUUAUUCCAGUUCAUGUUAUAUAUUUCUGCAUGUAUAGAUGUGAUUACAUGUUAUAUGCGGCUCCUUAUGAGGUUUAAAUAUGAGCUGGUGGUGUAGUAGUGGACCAAAAAUAUGAACUUGGUGGCAUAGUAGUGUACCAAAUGUUGGUACGUCAUCUGAUUAUCGAUAUGCUACUUAUUAAAUUUUGAAUGACACAAAUAUAUGCUUAAAGUACGAUAUGUUGGAUUUAACGUGUGUAUGAGUCUAUUGAGUGUUUCUAUGAAAACUCAACCUCCCCUAACAAUUUCAGAUUAAGGCGAUCAAUGAUAGCAUGGAGUGAGCGGUGGUGCUUUGAUGUGAACUCCAAAAGACAUCAUCUUAUUCAUGUUUUGUUC
rnacentral:lncRNA from 1 species